rnacentral:rRNA from 1 species
UACGUAGGGCGCAAGCGUUGUCCGGAAUUAUUGGGCGUAAAGAGCUCGUAGGCGGUCUGUCGCGUCGGAUGUGAAAGCCCGGGGCUUAACCCCGGGUCUGCAUUCGAUACGGGCAGACUAGAGUGUGGUAGGGGAGAUCGGAAUUCCUGGUGUAGCGGUGAAAUGCGCAGAUAUCAGGAGGAACACCGGUGGCGAAGGCGGAUCUCUGGGCCAUUACUGACGCUGAGGAGCGAAAGCGUGGAGAGCGAACAGG